GUUUGGUUAAGUUAGAAAGGGCGCACGGUGGAUGCCUUGACACUAGGAGUCGAUGAAGGACGGGACUAACGCCGAUAUGCUUCGGGGAGCUGUAAGUAAGCUUUGAUCCGAAGAUUUCCGAAUGGGGAAACCCACCAUACGUAAUGGUAUGGUAUCCUUACCUGAAUACAUAGGGUAAGGAAGACAGACCCAGGGAACUGAAACAUCUAAGUACCUGGAGGAAGAGAAAGCAAAUGCGAUUUCCUGAGUAGCGGCGAGCGAAACGGAACAUAGCCCAAACCAAGAGGCUUGCCUCUUGGGGUUGUAGGACAUUCUAUACGGAGUUACAAAGGAACGAGGUAGACGAAGCGACCUGGAAAGGUCCGUCGUAGAGGGUAACAACCCCGUAGUCGAAACUUC
rnacentral:rRNA from 1 species